rnacentral:rRNA from 1 species
AGGCCUUCGGUUGUAAGCACUUUCAGUCGUGAGGAAGGUGGUGUAGUUAAUAGCUGCAUUAUUUGACGUUAGCGACAGAAGAAGCACCGGCUAACUCCGUGCCAGCAGCCGCGGUAAUACGGAGGGUGCGAGCGUUAAUCGGAAUUACUGGGCGUAAAGCGCAUGCAGGUGGUUUGUUAAGUCAGAUGUGAAAGCCCGGGGCUCAACCUCGGAAUAGCAUUUGAAACUGGCAGACUAGAGUACUGUAGAGGGGGGUAGAAUUUCA